UACAGAGGUCUCAAGCGUUGUUCGGAUUCAUUGGGCGUAAAGGGUGCGUAGGCGGCGCGGUAAGUCGGGUGUGAAAUCUCGGGGCUUAACUCCGAAACUGCAUUCGAUACUGCCGUGCUUGAGGACUGGAGAGGAGACUGGAAUUUACGGUGUAGCAGUGAAAUGCGUAGAUAUCGUAAGGAAGACCAGUGGCGAAGGCGGGUCUCGUGGACAGUUCCUGACGCUGAGGCACGAAGGCCAGGGGGAGCAAACAGG
rnacentral:rRNA from 1 species